UACGUAGGGUGCAAGCGUUGUCCGGAAUUAUUGGGCGUAAAGAGCUCGUAGGCGGCUCGUCGCGUCGGCUGUGAAAACCCGGAGCUCAACUCCGGGCCUGCAGUCGAUACGGGCGGACUCGAGUUCGGCAGGGGAGACUGGAAUUCCUGGUGUAGCGGUGAAAUGCGCAGAUAUCAGGAGGAACACCGGUGGAGAAGGCGGGUCUCUGGGCCGAUACUGACGCUGAGGAGCGAAAGCGUGGGGAGCGAACAGG
rnacentral:rRNA from 1 species